CUUAGAAGAGGUCUUAAGUGUUUAUGAAAAGCACGGCAUUAACGGACAUAUAGAGUGGAAGCGAUAGGAGAAAACCUAAAGUCCAAUGGUGGCCACGACUGGACUUGAACCAGCGACCACUACCA
rnacentral:antisense_RNA from 1 species